rnacentral:misc_RNA from 1 species
AACCAUAGAAACCUGCGGAGUACCUGCGGAAGGAUCAUUACCGAGUCACGUGCUCAAAUAACCCUUCUGUGGACCUGAAAUAAAACCGUUGCCUCGGCGGGCGGUCCCCCCAACCAAACCCCACGUGGUGGGUUAGGGGACCAGACAGUCCGGCACGCUUAAGGCGUCCGGCGCCAGCCGCUGGCCCCAAACAAUUAAACUCCUAGUAACCUUUACCUCCUGAGUUUCAAUAUUUUAAAA